GCGCACCAGUCGCGAAUCCUUCGCAAUGCAGGAAACUGCGACGAGGGAACUCCAAGUGCCUACGCUCAGCGUAGGCUGUUCUCAAGCCUAGAAAGCUUGAGGAGUAAGGGCUGGGUAAGACGGGUGCCAUCUGUGGUAGCAGUCAAUAGAUUCGAUUUGUUACUGCAAGGCAUAAGCCGCCGCGGUAAUACCCGCAGCCCAAGUGGUGGCCGCUUUUAUUGGGCCUAAAGCGUCCGUAGCCGGCCCGGUAAAUGCCUGGGUAAAUCGUGGAGCCCAACUUCACGAAUUCCGGGUAGACUGCCGAGCUCGGGACCGGAAGAGGGAGAGGGUACUUCGAGGGGUAGGGGUGAAAAUUUCCGUUUCCAUUUAACGCUUUUGCGCGAAGCGGAAA
rnacentral:rRNA from 1 species